AUGCAGCAACAGCUAAAUACUGUACUGUACCUCCAACGAGUAAGGCAAGUCCUAAGAAGCCAGCUCAAUGGCAAGAACAAAUCCCGGGCAAUAAACAGCUACGCCCUGCCAGUGAUCAGAUACCCUGCGGGAAUAAUAAGUUGGCCAAAGGAAGAGAUACAGACCACAGAUGUUAAGUCACGAAAGCUACUCACCAUGCAUGGAGGGUUCCACCCCAAAUCCAGCACCCUGAGACUGUACACUAGCCGCAAAGAAGGAGGCAGAGGAUUAGUGAGCGUGAGAGCCACUAUCCAGGAUGAAACAUCCAAGAUCCAUAAGUACAUCAAGGAUAAGACCCCGACAGAUGACGUGCUGAGUGAAUGUCUCAUGCAGUGGAGAACAGAGGAUGAGAUGCUGGAAGAGGGACCAUCAUGGGAGGACAAGCCCUUACACGGGAUGUACCACCGGAACAUAACUGAAGUGGCUGAUCUCAACAAAUCCUACCAAUGGCUUGAAAGGGCUGGGCUGAAGCACAGCACAGAGGCACUCAUCCUGGCUGCACAGGAGCAGGCCCUGAGCACCAGAGCCAUAGAGGCCCAGAUCUACCACACCAGACAAGACCCAAGGUGUAGACUGUGCAAAGAGGCCCCUGAGACGGUCCAGCACAUGACUGCAGGGUGUAAGAUGCUGGCAAGAAAAGCAUACAUGGAACGCCAUAACCAAGUGGCUGGCAUAGUAUACAGGAACAUCUGCACAGAGUAUGGACUGGAAACCCCAAGAUCAAAGUGGGAAACACCUCCCAAGGUGGUAGAGAACGAGCGAGCCAAGAUCCUGUGGGACUUUCAGAAAGCCGUGGUGGUUGAUGUGGCAAUACCAAGCGAUGGCAACAUCAGGAAAAAGGAACAUGAGAAACUAGAGAAAUACCACGGGCUCAGAGAAGAACUGGAGAAGGCUUGGAAGGUGAAGGCCACAGUGGUGCCUGUGGUGAUCGGAGCACUGGGGGCAGUGACCCCCAAACUGGAGGAGUGGCUACAACAGAUCCCUGGAAAAACAUCCGAAAUCUCAGUCCAGAAAAGUGCAGUCCUAGGAACAGCAAGGAUACUGCGCAGAACCCUCAAGCUUCCUGGUCUCUGGUAG
rnacentral:lncRNA from 1 species